UGGGUUUGACAUGCACAGGACGCCGGCAGAGAUGUCGGUUCCCUUGUGGCCUGUGUGCAGGUGCUGCAUGGCUGUCGUCAGCUCGUGUCGUGAGAUGUUGGGUUAAGUCCCGCAACGAGCGCAACCCUCGCCCUUAGUUGCCAGCAUUGAGUUGGGCACUCUAAGGGGACUGCCGGUGAUAAGCCGAGAGGAAGGUGGGGAUGACGUUACGCAACUAACCA
rnacentral:misc_RNA from 1 species